rnacentral:rRNA from 1 species
UACGAAGGGGGCUAGCGUUGCUCGGAAUACUGGGCGUAAAGCGUGCGCAGGCGGUGAUGUAAGACAGAUGUGAAAUCCCCGGGCUCAACCUGGGAACUGCAUUUGUGACUGCAUCGCUGGAGUACGGCAGAGGGGGAUGGAAUUCCGCGUGUAGCAGUGAAAUGCGUAGAUAUGCGGAGGAACACCGAUGGCGAAGGCAAUCCCCUGGGCCUGUACUGACGCUCAUGCACGAAAGCGUGGGUAGCAAACGGG